rnacentral:rRNA from 1 species
CGGAGGGUGCGAGCGUUGUCCGGAAUCAUUGGGCGUAAAGGGCGCGUAGGUGGCCCGGUCAGUCUUUGGUGAAAGCGCGGGGCUCAACCCUGCGUCGGCCAGGGAUACUGCCGCGGCUCGAGCACUGUAGAGGCAGGCGGAAUUCCGGGUGUAGCGGUGGAAUGCGUAGAGAUCCGGAAGAACACCGGUGGCGAAGGCGGCCUGCUGGGCAGUUUUGCUGACACUGAGGCGCGACAGCGUGGGGAGCAAACAGGAUUAGAUACCCUGGUAGUCCACGCCGUAAACGAUGGGCACUAGGCGCUUGGGGGAGCGACCCCCCGAGGGCCGGCGCUAACGCAUUAAGUGCCCGCCUGGGGGGUACGGCCGCAAGGCUG